GACGAACGCUGGCGGCGGGCUUAACACAUGCAAGUCGAGCGGAAAGGCCCCUUUGGGGGUACUCGAGUGGCGAACGGGUGAGUAACACGUGAGUAACCUGCCCUUGACUUCGGGAUAACUUCAGGAAACUGGGGCUAAUACCGGAUAGGAAUCCUUGCUGCAUGGGGGGGGUUGGAAGGCUUCGGCGGUGUUGGGUGGACUGGCGGCUUAUCAGCUUGUUGGUGGGGUAGUGGCUUACCAAGGCUUUGAGGGGUAGCCGGCCUGUGAGGGCGACCGGCCACAUUGGCUCUGAGGUACGGCCCCGGCUCCUACGGGAGGCAGCAGUGGGGAAUAUUGCACCAUGGGCGGCAGCCUGAUGCAGCAGCGCCGCGUGCUGGAUGACGGCUUUCGGGUUGUAGACCGCUUUCAGCAGGGGCGAAGCUUGUGGUGACGGUACCUGCAGAAGAAGCACCGGCUAACUACGUG
rnacentral:rRNA from 1 species